AUCAGAAAUCUGGAGAAACCAUUUGUUCUUGGAGAAGGACAGCAGUCAGGAGGGUUUUUUGUUAGUUUCUUUUUGUUGAUUUUGAAUUUGUAUGAAGACUAUGUCCCGGUCCCAGGAGAAAACAGACAGAAAAGUUUGUUUUCUUAAGACUUAAAAUAUAUUCUCUGAGCUCACUAAGCCAUCAGAACAUGCCGCUGGGCUCUGACGAUGGCGUGAUUUAGGGAGUGGAAACACUGAGUCCUGGUGGAUGGAAACGAUGUUCUCCAAGGUAACUCAACCAGACAGACUUAACUACAAAUGCCAUGCUGUCCUCUCAAGAAACCAUUCCAUUUAGUGAAAACGAGACCGGUUAUGCAAUGAGUUUGAGGCUAAUUUUAAAGCAAGUCAUGUGUCCUUCCCGUUGCUCUGACCCAAAUACGAGACAGGGACUCAAAGUUGCACACAAAGAAUACCCAAAACAAUCAGGACACUCGACAUGAGCCAUCUGGUUGAUGACGGGAAUGCAAGCGUCAUUUUUCAGCCACCGCAAGGCUCCGGCACUGGGGACUCGUUCAGCGUUCCAGUUAGGACACCGCCCGGAGACUGUGCCAGGGACCGGCCCCAGGUCUGCAGCGCGCCGUCACUGGGCCCGGGCCCUAGGGCUUCCCUCUUCUCUCACGUCUCUCAACCAAAACCCGCUGGGAAAGAAGACGAGAAAUUCAUCCGCAUCAAGGAGAACGGACAAAUUUAUCUUCCUGGGAGCGUCCCGGAAAAAUAAUGGGUCUCUGGGCAGUUUCAGAUACCAGAGAGAGAGCCAGGAAGAAGAUAUGUCAGAUCUAUGCAUGGAACCACGGAACUUUCUGUCUGGCUAGCAGGGGAGGCUAACAAACAGAACUUCAUGUGGAUGUUUUGAAACAAGAAAGCAGGGUAAGGAGAUAAGGGAGCGAUGGAGCCCGAAGGCAGCUGAGGGGCCCGCAGUGUCUGGCUGAGCUGGUGAGGAAGGGCAUCCUUUGUAGGGUUGCCAGGUCUAGCAAAGAAGAACACGGGGCACCUAGUCGCAUUUGAGUUUCAGAUAAACAGUGAAUACUCUCUCAGGAUAAGUGUGCCCCGUGCAAUAUUUGGGACAUACAUGUAACUAAAAAUUGCCAUUUGUCUGAAAUUCAAAUGUAACUGGGUGUCCUGCAUUUUAUCUUGCACCUCUACUGCCCUGGGGCCCCCAGGAACGAGGUGGGGAGAGAAACAGUCAGCCCAAAGAUUGCCAGGCAGAAAUGGGCUUGGCUCUUGUUCCAGUGUGGCUGGAAUAGAGGGAGGCAGGGAGACGAUGGUAGAGAUGACCCCACAGAGGCAGGCCCGCUAGGAAGAGUUUGCGUUUUAUCCCGAUCAGUAGAAUUUUAGGGAACACCCUCACACUGCAAUUCUUCAUUUCCAUGAAUAUUCCAGUUUAGUAUUGUGUUUCCCGAAGCAGGUGCCACUGACCUUGCUUUAAGGCCAGACUUUAGAAUGGGAGACUAGGUGUCCCUGCCCUGGGUGUCUCACCUAAAUUUACCUGACCUCCCCUCUCUCUUUUCACCCCAUUCACUAUUGUCUGCAGUUUUCCUAGUGCUAGACAGUCAUCGUACCAUAAGAAAUGAACUUAAAAUGCUACUGGGAGAAGAGAUUUAGGGACUCAAAUUCUCACUAGUGUGUAAAUGACUAUUAGAAAGUGUUUUGAAAGUGAGGAAGGGAAGAGCGUAUAGCACAGGUCAAGGGAAGGUGGGAAAAGAAUAAAAAAGGGAAAUUUGAGGGCGCUAAUGCCAAGCUUGACCAAUUUGCCUUGCUGUGACCCUGAAGCUGAGCGUUGGCUGAGCAGAACUGCAAACCAGUUCUCCCCACUCUCGGUGUGGAGAUGACCAAGAGUCUGUCGUGGAAGAGAGAUUCAGAGCCAGGCCGGCUGCGAACCGAUACUGCCAGAUGGCAGAGCAGUCAAAAUAUUUAGCUGUGAAGCCCACACUGUGUUCGGGAAGAGGCUGAACUCACCUUCCUGCCGCAGACCCUGGUGGGCUCCCGUCUGUGGGUGCUGCCUGCCUCCUCAGCCGGCCGCUUCGGUGACUCACUGAGUGGCUCACUGAGUGACUCACUGAGUGACUCAGGCUGGGCUCUGGUGGUUCAUCCCUGGCAGGGAUUUAGCCAGCUGAACCAGCUUCCUCUCCCGCCUUCUAGUAAAAGAUAUCCUGUGUCGAAAACAGAGCCUUGACUGUACUUCUGUGAGAACGGCCCUACCUUGCUUCCGGGGAAUGUGGGGUUUUCUGGACCCAAUAACACACAGAAAAGCAAUAUUGCUCUCCAUGUUAUAGAGGGGAAACAUUGUGAGAAGACGGGCUUGCCCAGGUUCCGAGUGCUGGCGGGUGCACUUGAACGCCCGAGUCUUUUCUAUCACACUGAGGGUGGUGAGUCCAUUUGAAGAUUCCUUAAUGACGUGUGCAAGAUUGCAUAACUACUUGCUGCCCUCUGAAACUGAAACGUUCUUUUUCUAUAAAAUCAUGGUUUAGAAACCAAGAGCAGAAUCUACAAGGGAGAAGUUGUUUCCCCCCAUGUUUUGAAAAACAUUCAUUUCAGAUAAUGAAUCCCUGGGUGAUGGACUGGUUGAUUCUUUCAAAAGAAUUUAAUGACCCCUCCAUUAUACAAAUAAGAAGCGUUUAUUGCAGAAACUUUGGAAAAGUUAGAAAAAAACAAAGGGAAAAAUAAAAAUCACCCGUCAUUCUCCUAGUUAGAUAUAAUUGUUGUUAUUUUGAUGUGUGGCCAGCCCUGGUGGUCUGGGUUAAGAUGUGGCGCUCUCACUGCACGGCCCAGGUUUGUCUCCCAUCAGGGACCACACCACCCAUCAGUCGUUGUCACACUGCGGCAGCUGUGUGUUGCUGAAAGCUCUGCCACCGGGAUUUCAAAUACCAGCAGGGUCACCCAUGGUGGACAGGCUUCAGUAGAGCUUCCAGACUCCGACAGACUAGGAAGAAGGAGCUGGCCAGGCACUUCCAAAAAUUUUGACCAUGAAAACCCUGUGAAUAGCAGCAGAGCAUUGUCUGAUGCAGUGCCGGAAGGUGAGAGGAUGGCGCAGAAACACCCGGCAGGGUUCCGCUCUGCUGUACGCAGGGCCGCUAGGAGUCGGAAUCCAUUCCACGGCACAAACGACAAAAAUUUUAAUAUGUAUCCUUCCUUUUUUCAUACACAUGUGACCAUAUUUUAACAAAUUGGAAAAAAUGUGCUAUAAACUGAUGAAUGAUACUUCCAUGAGCGUUUUCUCACAUCAGUUUCUUUCCAAGCGUCUUUGAUCCAUAGCACACACUCUAUCCUACGGAUGGUGUACUUCAUUUACUCCACCUAUUGAGACUUUUAGCCUGUUACCAUUUUUUUUAUUAUAAACACCACCACAACAGGCUUGCUUGGUCUUAUAAAUAUUUAGUGAUGUUUCCACCCGGCCAUUUGUAUGGGCUUUGGUUUGAGAAAAACUGAAAAUGGAAGAACAGAGAAGGUUAAUAGACAUUAGUUUGAUUUUUGUCUGGCGGAGAAGGGAGAGAAGGAAGGGCAGCCAUCUCAAGUGUCCCCUCUGUAAAGGUCGUUUCCGUCCCCCGGGCUCUUAAUUCUGUUUGUCUGACUUGCCUCCUGUGCGCUUUACCAUCUCCGUCUCCCCACAGCUCCUCACCUUCUCGCCACCCUGUCACAAUCUCUGUUUGCCCUCAUCACACUCUGGGGGCUCUCCUCAGGGCCUCCCUGGUCUUGCCCGCUGUUGAUGAAGGUUUUCUGUGUCUCGACUCAGUGCCUGAGAAGUUAUUUCUAAGAGCAGCAAGUGAAGGAUCCCGGCACAGUGUAUGAAGUCAUGCCCAUAAAGCUCUUCGGCAAAUCACUGCAUUGUUCCACCCGUUGGGUACAGCCCGCAAUGCGGCUGCAACUGACCGGGCCCAAAGACAAGCAACAGUGGUGUGACCUCUGGACUUGUCUAAUUUCUCCACUGGACUAAGCAACUGCCCCUCCAUUCCCUUCCCAUCAGGCACUAUCAGUGUGUCAGCUCUAAUAACAACUAGAAAAAUGGGGACAAUCGUUAUUCCCAAGCUACAAUUUGAGAAACAUCUAAGAGAGUCAUAAAAUCGAAUAAGGCUCAGCAGAGUGCCUUUAGGAAAAAAAAAAAACCAUCUCAUUUGUUGCAGGUUCUUAAAAUAGUUCCCAAUGCUGUCCUCCACCUUCACAAUUAUUUUUGUCUUCAGUUCUAAAUCUGAAUGGCACAGAGCAGCAGAAUUUAUACAUUUAAGUUCAUAAGAGAACAGACAGCUCAUUAAUUCUUAACGUUGGUGGGAUUUGACUGUUUGCCAUCGUAUGCUCCAUUCCGAAAUAUGUCUGGGUCUGCUUUUCUGAGAUGAUUAAAGUGUCUUAUUGAUAACCUUGCGGCUGUUAAGAACACGGUGCCCUUCACGUAUGAGACAAGGUUACACGCCCCUCCCACCCAAGGGAGGGUGUGGGCAACAUCAACACGAAUCAUCUCACGUUUAUCCAUUCACAACUUCAUUUAGUCAAAUAUUUGAGAUUUUCCCAUGUGCCAAGCAAGAGAAAAAGCCCUUGUCUUCCAAGGGGGAGACAAAUAAGCAAAUUUGUAACAUAAUGAAAAUGUUACAAAAAAAAUAAAGCCAAGUAAGAGAAUGGAGUGUGUGGGGGGAUGGGGGUGGUACUUUAGAUCUGGUAGUUAGGGAAGGCCUCUUUGGGGAGGUGGCAUUUAAGUGCAGGAACGAGGCAUGGAAAUAACUAUCAGGAGGAGCAAGGCCAAAGCCCUCGAGAUGGGAAAGGCUCCACGAGAGAAGGGGAGCAGCGAAGAGGUGAGGGUAGCUGAACGCAGCGAGGCAGGGAGAGGGAGAGCUGAGGGGGCCGGGAGCCAGCUCAACGAGAGCCUGUCAGCCACGGACCUUGGUCUGCUCCACCAUGCUCUCUCCCAAGUGCCAAUUCACUGCAGACUCUCACGGUCCCUGAAUCCAGCGGUGACCACCUUGGGUCCCGGCAAGCUGGAAGCCCUUAGGGAUUCCUGGGAAAGCUCUGGGUCCUGUAAAGUGGUCACUGCGGCUGCCAGGCCCACCCUUUUGGUGGUUUUACAAUUCAGAUGAGCUGCUCCUACAGCCUAGGUCUGCUGCUAUACCACCACCUCACUUAACCAUCGACUGCUGUGUGGGGAUCACAGUUCCUGAGUCCUCCUGUAGACCAUGUGAUCUGUAUGUAUUUCCCCCCAUCCUAGAGAAGGAGGCUGAGUUUCAGGAGGUUAGGGACAAGGUCACAUUGUGCCUUAGUCAGUUCAGGUUGCUAUAACAAAGUACCACAGACCAGGUGGCUUAUAAAAUCUGUUUCUUGGUCGCUCUGGAGGCUGGAAGUCUGAGAUCACGGUGCCAGCACAGGUGUCGGUGGGACCCGCUUCGGGUUGCAGACUGCCAGCUUCUCACUGAAUCCUCAUAUGGAGGAGAACAGAAAGAAGUGGCAAGCUCUCUUGUGACUCUUCUAAGGGCACUAAUCCCACUCGUGAGGGUUCCACCCUCACGACCUCAUCUAAUCCUAAUUACCUCCCAAAGCCCGUCUCCUAAUACCAUCACGUUGAGGGGUAGGGUUUCAACACAGGAAUUUGGGGGGACACAAACAUUCAGUCCAUGACACUUGGUUAUUGAGUGAGGGUGGGAUUUAAAUGCAGAUCUAAUUGACUGGAAAGUCUGCUUUUCUUACAUCACGUUGCCUAAUCCUUCCUGAGCACUUCUGUUCAUUGAUCAAAAUAUUUAGUGAACAUCUGCCGUGUGUUUGGUGCUGUGCUGAGCAUCCCCGAGGGACGGAGACACAAAUAAGAGACAGUUCCUGCCCUCAAGCAUCUAGAAUCAAGUGAGCCGUCUAGUCUAUAAUACAUCCCCAGCAUGGAGUGGGAUUAUAACACAGCUCCACCACCACACACACACACACACUCACACUCACACACACACACCCCGUUUUGGACUUUCUCACACAGACAUUUGUCUUAUUCUUCUCAUUAAAGAAACUUGCCAGCUGCCAGGCAGGAUGGGCCACUGCCAAGCGUGAAAAGCAUGCGUUGACCCAUCUGGCCUUGGUUGACAUUGGUACUAUUGUUCACAGUUGGAUUUCACUUAAAUUUGGAUCUUAAUUGUCACUUUAAAAAAUCUUCAAAAAGAUCACCCUAUGUUGCAGGGCUAAAAUGGUAAGACGUCACUGUAGAAGCCUGGCCGUCACACGUCGGCGAUGCAGCCGAAGGGCAGCAGGAACUGCCACGUCUCUGAGCUCUCCCAGCAGUGUCAGAGCCAAGCCCAGGACUCACUCAGGCAUUUGAAGGACGAGCAUUCAGGUGGAGAACACACAGCUCUAUCAGAAGCUUCCAGACGACUUUCUAGAGAAGGUGUGAUACUUCCAGUGGUAUCUUAUUCAGCUCGGGAAUAUAUGAACUACAAGUUUAACCACAUCGGUGAAAUGUCUCAAAAUGAUCUCCAUCACAACAGUGCCUAAGAGAUUAUUCUCAGCGUCAGUACCCUGGUCGUUUCCUUUGCUAUAGUUCCCAUAAUUUGAAAUUACUUUAUUUGCUUGUCUUUGUUUCGCGAUGAGGUUAUCUUUUCAUUGUUGUUUCUCCAGCACAUGGCAAAAUGCCUCAAGCAGAGUCGGGUUGCGGGAAGCAGAAGCUUCUGAGAUGCUGUAUACCCACCGUGGCCAGGACGAUUUACAACUCUUUCUUUAGUGUCUGGGAGAAGCUUGGUCUCAAAAGUUUUAUUGUGACGCUGAAAAAAAUAAGUGCUAUGUUGUUGUCUAAAUAAAUAUACGCUACUGUGAGUUUUUUAGAACACAGAGUUAUGAAGACGUGAUUUUUUUUUUCUGAAAAAAAUUUUAUUAGCUUUACAGAUACUAUUUGGUGUUAAUUUUUAUGACUUGGCAGUUUCUCUUACUCAGUGGCAUCACAGAAUGAAGGAAACAGUAUAACAAGAGUAAAAGACCUUUAAAUAUUUUAAAGCUUUAAAUCAGAGAUUGUAAUAUUUGGGAAUCUCUUCAAACGACUCUCCCAACAUCUCUAACCCAUUAACAAAAAACUCUCAUUAGAUAAUGUGUACUUUCCAAAUAAUUUGAAAUCACCUUGAUAGGGCUUGUAGGCAAAUCAUCACUGUGGCUGGAAAGGAAGAUGCGAGCAAAUGUGCUGUAAUUGUACUGAAAGGAGCUGGUCCGAGGGGGUCCUCUCUGGGCGGCUCCCUGCAUCGUGAGCUCUGUGGGUGGCAUCGGCUUUGGAAUAGGAGAGCCUUUUUGAACGGUGAUGUCACGCUUACCUUGGGCAGGUGAUGUGUCCUCUCUGGGUUUCAGCUUCCUCGUCUGUGAAGUGGGGAAGAGAACUGCCAAUCCCCAGACACGAGGAGGAACCCGCAGGUCUCACACUCAGUGGCGCCCGCCGUACACGGCCCUUGUCUUGGUCCACUCGGGCUGCUGGAACAGAACACCGUCCACUGGGUGGCUUCUGAACAACACACAUUAAUUGCUUACAGUUCUGGAGGCUGGCAAGCCCAAGAUCAAGGCCUGGCAGAUUGAGUGUCUGGUGAGAGCCCCCUUCCUCACAGAGGGUCAUCUUCUCACUCUGACCUCACGUGGCAGAAGGGAGCAGCUAGCUCUCUGGGGUCUCCUUUAUAAGGGCACAAAUCCCAAACACGAGGGCUCUGCUCUCAUGACCUAAUCACCUCCCAAGGGCCCCACCUCCCAACACCGUCACAUCGGGCCUCAGGUUUCCACACAAGAAUUUGGAGGGGGUGGGGUACCAACGUGUGCAGACCGUAGCAGCACUCCCUCCUGACUCCCUUCUGGAACACCUGAACCAGUGGCGAACCCCUUCAGCAAUUUGUAAGGCUGGCGAGAGCACCACCGCUAUUUCACUCGCAUCAUCUCUAGAACAGCGCUCCUCCUCCGGGGCUUUUAUUCCAUCAACGUUUCCCUCUUUUUCCUUUUCUCCACACUUUGUACUUUUGUCUACUGUUUCCUGCCUCUGCUUCUUCAGAAACCUCCUUCCCAACGUCACCCCUUAGGACACAGUCCACGCUCACUUGGAUCUUGGGCCACCGCGGACACUUGAGAGGUUGCUGAACCCUUGGACCUCAUUUCAUAAAGGGCCACGUUUAAGUCACCUCCCAUCAAUUCUUUUCCGUAUCGGGGUAAAUUCAAAACAUGCUGUAAAAAAUAUAAAGUUCUUCCUCAAACAUGUUCUCCAAACAUUAGGGACCCACUUAAACAAGGCCAAAUGAAAUUAUGCUAGAUUCAAUCAGCACGAUGACGGUCUCGCUUAACUCCACACGUUGGGUAUUCACCUUUAGGGCCUCUUUCCCAAGCAAUGUGGAGACACACAGUGGAAGGUCAGAUCAUCUAUGGUCCCACAGAGCCGAAGGGGCUCGCUGUACAGGAUUCUUUGUAUUAUAUGCUGUGCGUUCAAAGUCUCACCUUAGAGAAGUACAGGAAGCAUGUUCUGCCUUACGUCAAUGUCCUGGAAAGGCAAGGACCUAGAAGCACAUUAGGGCUAUGUCAGAGUCCUACUUUGGAAUGAGAGAAUGUUCAAGAUGGAAGGCACUAGAACACUCCUACAACUCCCUCAUUUAUAAAUGAGAGACCCAGAUAAUCAUGAUGUGCCCUACCAGAAUUACAUGCCAAUAAGUGCUGUAACAGGCAAUUUUUUUUUAUUGAGUUCAUAAUAGUUUACAUCAAUGUGAGAUUUCAGUUGUACAUUAUUUCCUGACUGCCACCAUAUAAGUGCUCCCCUUCACCCCUGGUGCCCCUGCCCCACCCCACUUCCCCUGGUAACCACUGAACUGUUUUCAUUGUUUAUAUUCCACAUAUGAGUGAAAUCAUCUGGUGUUUGUCUUUCUCAGACUGGCUUAUUUCGCUUAGCAUAAUUCUCUCUAGGUCCUUCCAUGUUAUUGCAAAUGGGAUGAAUUUGUCUUUUUUUCUGGCUGAGUAGUAUUCCAUUCUACAUAUAUACCACAUCUUUAUCCAAUCAUCGGUCGAUGGGCACUUGGAUUGUUUCCAUGUCUUGGCUGUUGUGAAUAGUGCUGCAAUGAACAUAGAGGUGAAUAUGUUACUUCGGAUU
ensembl:lncRNA